UACGGGGGGGGCAAGCGUUGUUCGGAAUUACUGGGCGUAAAGGGCUUGUAGGCGGCCAACUAAGUCCGACGUGAAAUCCCCAGGCUUAACCUGGGAACUGCGUCGGAUACUGGAUGGCUUGAAUUCGGGAGAGGGAUGCAGAAUUCCAGGUGUAGCGGUGAAAUGCGUAGAUAUCUGGAGGAAUACCGGUGGCGAAGGCGGCAUCCUGGACCGACAUUGACGCUGAGGAGCGAAAAGCUAGGGGAGCAAACGGG
rnacentral:rRNA from 1 species